rnacentral:rRNA from 1 species
UACGAAGGGGGCUAGCGUUGUUCGGAAUUACUGGGCGUAAAGUGCGUGUAGGCGGGCCGUUAAGUCGGGGGUGAAAGCCCAGAGCUCAACUCUGGAACUGCCUUCGAUACUGGCAGCCUGGAGCAUGAUAGAGGCGAGUGGAAUUGCGAGUGUAGAGGUGAAAUUCGUAGAUAUUCGCAGGAACACCAGUGGCGAAGGCGACUCGCUGGAUCAUUGCUGACGCUGAGACGCGAAAGCGUGGGGAGCAAACAGG